AUGAGUACAUUAUUAAAUUUAUGAAGGGUUUGAUCUUGGCUCAGAACGAACGCUGGCGGCGUGGAUUAGGCAUGCAAGUCGAACGAGGAUAUAUCCUUCGGGAUAUAAAUCGAGUGGCGCA
rnacentral:rRNA from 1 species